AAUCUUUAUGUGCUCCCUGCCUGAAUCUACCAGCCAGCGAAUGACAACUGACUGAGUAGAAAUACUAGGACUACAGAACCGUGAUAAAAGGAGUCUCCUGCCCCUGGCCAGGGAGAGCCACAGGCUGGAUGACAUCUGGUUUAUAGUGAGGGGCAGCAGCAACUCCAAGAGGGGGAAGAUGUGACCAUGAGCCCCGCCCCAGACCCAGGAGGCUUGACCUUGGGGCUGCCGUAGCAGUGGAUGCUCUUCAGCUGAAUGACCUAUCCUGGGCCCGUGACCCUGGACUUCAGCCAGAUCAGCAUCUCAAGCUCCCACCCAGGUGGCCUGUCCUCACGGGCCUUGGAGUGGAGACUUGAGCCACCACCUGUCAGAGGUGGAGACUUCACAGGCACAGCUGGAGCCAAGAACCCUGGUGCCCAAUUGUCUGUGACUGCAACUGGAUCAAGGGUUUGACUGUGGCUAUGGCUUAGCCAGGCGGGAUGUUUCCUCCACCACCUGCAGCUUCACAACCAACGGUGAUCCUGGGAACCAAUGGCCCUUCCAAGAGCUGGGUUUAGAGCCUUCCCUUGAAUGAAGAACCCUCCCCAGCUGGAAGGUGAUGCUAUUGAAGGCUCAGCUGACAACAUACAUGGGCAUCAAGUCAUUGGCCACAUUCAUGUCUCAAGUGUCCUAAAACCGAAGAUGAUCAAAAGAAAACUGCUGUUCAGCAAGUGGAGACUGGCAUGCAGAUUCCCUGGCCUGCAAGCUUAGAGCAGGAAGAUACUAAAUGCUGCUGGAACAAUGAAAAGAAAGAACGGAUGUCACAAAAAGCAUUUUCAUUUGAUGAAUAGAACUAAAAGAGCAAAGCAAUUGAAAGCUUAACACAACACAGGAGGGAUCCAUGGCUGAGGAUUGUAUUUCAGAACCACUGACUGCUCUUGACAAUUGUUAACCCACUAGGCUCCUUUGGUUAGAGAAGCCACAGUCCUUCAGCCUCCACUUGAUACCAAUACUUAGGAAGACCAAAGCCAGAUGGACAAACAGCAUUGAGAGGCUUUAGCCCUACUCCUCUCAGCUUCCAUCCUGUAGAGAACAGGAGUCAGGAGCUGCUGGCAGGAGACAGCAUGUCACUUGGGACUCUGCCAGUGCAGAAUACGAACAAUGCCAUGUUCUUGCUAAAAAUGCUUAGCUUGAGUUUCAUAGGAGGUAAUCACCAGAUAGACAACUGCAGAAUGUAGAAUACUGAGCAGGACAAUAACCUGUCUCCUUCAGACAGUCCAUGUCACCACGAAUCACACAAUAAAAAGGAGAAAAGACAUUUUGGGUUCAAAAAAACUAAAAAGAUAAUGUAGCUAUAUUUCUUUAGUUAUUUUGAACCCAAAGUAUCUCCUCAUCUUUUUGUUGUUGUCAUUGAUGGUAGGGGCAUGGACUUGUUUGUAGAGGACAGGUCAGCUGUCUGGCUCAAUGUCCUACAAGAGACAGGGGGGACAUGGAAGUGUACAGCUAUAUUUGUGGAUUAGUCUAGCUAUCUGUUCAGUAUUUAAGGUUGUUGUUGCAUAGAUAUUUAUGACUUGAAAUUUUGCAUAGAUAUUUAUGACUUUUGUCAGGGGAGGGGUUGGUGGAUUGGUCCUUUCAUCAUUUUAUAACGUCCCUUUCUCUCUCUGAUUAGUUUCUUUGUUCUUUUUUCUAUGGACAUCUUUCUUUUAAGGCAGAACUGCUGGUCAGAGAUUCCCUUAGCUUUUCUUAAUCUGAAACUGUUUUGAUCUACCCCUUAAUUCCUGAAAGACUCAGCAAAUAAAUACAAGACAUAAAUAAGAACCAAAUGGAAGUAUUAGAAGUGAAAAAUGCAACUAAAAUAAAAAGUCCAGCAGAUAG